rnacentral:tRNA from 1 species
UAUACUAUAGUAUAUUAUGUAUAAAAGUUUUUGAUACUUUAGGAAAAAGAUUAAUUCUUUUUAGUAUAU